rnacentral:rRNA from 1 species
AGAGAUCAAAUUAUACAUACUAGGUAAAAAGGCAGUUAAAUAUUAUAAAAUUAUUAAUUUAAUAAUUUUUUUAUAUAUAGGUAAAAUUUACAUAUAAUUAAAUAAUCCCGCAUAAAUUAAUUAUAUUGAUUCUGCGACAUCCAUGAGGGAAACUGGGAUUAGAUACCCCAUUAUUCUUGGUUGUAAAUAAACAUAAGUUUACCAGAGUACUACGAAUAUAUAUACCAAAAAUUUAAAACUCAAAGAGCUUGGCGGUGUUUUAGACCCCUCAGGGGAACCUGUCUCAUAAUCGACAAUCCGCGUUACACCUAACCUUUUUUUGCAUAACAGUUUGUAUACCGUCGUCGUCAGGUAACUUUUUAGAAAAUAGAAGUUGGCAAAAAAAUUCUAUUAAAUUUAAACGUCAGAUCAAGGUGCAGCUUAUAUAAAGGUGAAGAUGGGUUACAAUUAAAAAUUAUAAUUACGAACAAAAUAAUGAAACAUUUAUUUCAAUUGAAGGAGGACUUGAAAGUAAAAUAAAUUUACAUAAAUUUUUUGAAUUAGGCUCUGAAACAUGC